CGCAGUGGUUCCUUAAUCUGAUGUGAAAGCCCACGGCUCACCGUGGAGGGUCAUUGGAAACUGGGGAAMUUGAGUGCRGAAGAGGAAAGUGGAAUUUCMMRUGUAGCGGUGAAAUGCGUAGAGAUUUGGAGGAACACCAGUGGCGAAGSGACUUUCUGGUCUGUAACUGACACUGAGGCGCGAAAGCGUGGGGAGCAAACAGGAUUAGAUACCCYGGUAGUSCACRCSGUAAACGAUGAGUGYUAAGUGUGAGAGGGUKUCCGCCCCUUAGUGYKGCAGMUAACGCRUUAAGCACUCCGCSUGGGGAGUACGGCSGCAAGGSUGAAAMUCAAAGGAAUUGACGGGGGCCCGCACAAGCGGUGGAGCAUGUGGUUUAAUUUGAAGCAACGCGAAGAACCUUACCAGGUCUUGACAUCCUCUGACAACCCYAGAGAUAGGGCKUUYCCCUUYGGGGGRCAGAGUGACAGGUGGUGCAUGGUUGUCGUCAGCUCGUGUCGUGAGAUGUUGGGUUAAGUCCCGCAACGAGCGCAACCCUUGAUCUUAGUUGCCAGCAUUCAGUUGGGCACUCUAAGGUGACUGCCGGUGACAAACCGGAGGAAGGUGGGGAUGACGUCAAAUCAUCAUGCCCCUUAUGACCUGGGCU
rnacentral:rRNA from 1 species